rnacentral:misc_RNA from 1 species
UGAAUUUUCUCCGAUAUCUUAUCCAUCAAUGACUCCGACACCGACUCCUCCUGCUUAUGCUCCGCCAUUGGAUCAGAAUACAAAAGCCAAACCCUAAAAACCCUUACACUGUUCGAAACGGAGAACGAGCGAAACUCCAAAAGAAUCUCCUUUCUUUGCUAUAAGCCUAUAACACAUUCUCUUGGCCCAAAUAAGAGGCGUUUUGUAGAAGAGUGAAUCGUGACCGUUGAGAUCGAAAUAUGGAUCUUAGCCGUUGAUAGGUUUGGCAACCGAAGC